rnacentral:rRNA from 1 species
AUAAGUAACGAUAAAGCGGGUGAAAAGCCCGCUCGCCGGAAGACCAAGGGUUCCUGUCCAACGUUAAUCGGGGCAGGGUGAGUCGACCCCUAAGGCGAGGCCGAAAGGCGUAGUCGAUGGGAAACGGGUUAAUAUUCCCGUACUUGGUGUUACUGCGAAGGGGGGACGGAGAAGGCUAUGUUGGCCGGGCGACGGUUGUCCCGGUUUAAGCGUGUAGGUGUGUGUUCCAGGUAAAUCCGGUUCACUUUAACACUGAGGCGUGAUGACGAGGCACUACGGUGCUGAAGCAACAAAUGCCCUGCUUCCAGGAAAAGCCUCUAAGCAUCAGGUAACAUCAAAUCGUACCCCAAACCGACACAGGUGGUCAGGUAGAGAAUACCAAGGCGCUUGAGAGAACUCGGGUGAAGGAACUAGGCAAAAUGGUGCCGUAA